rnacentral:misc_RNA from 1 species
CAGCGGAAAAGUUUGUGAACAGAGUGUUUUUUCCUGAUACAACACUUGAGCAGAAUAACAACAACAACUUUGUAUGCAACAGCCAUAACAAACAGCACCAGUAAAUUUUUCCACUUAGUGUUGCUGUCAUCAGAUAUAUCAUAUACAUUUCCCAGAGCCUCAUAACCAGAGAUGGUUCUCACCUGCCCCACUGCAAAAGAAGUUCCGAUGUACUCGUUCUCCAACAGUCCUUGGAUAGAAUAAGUAUGAAAAGCUAUAUAAGAAAUG